GGUUCCGUCGACUGAACGAGA
rnacentral:siRNA from 1 species